CUUUCCUGCCGGAAGGUGCAAGGGUGGGUCCACUUAUUUUCGGCCGCCAUUGUCCCCUCAGAGCACAAAAGGCACAGCAGAGGUUGAGGUGCCGCGGUCCCACGGGACAGGGAUUAGAGCAGAUUCAUCCCAGGUCUUGCUCCCGCCGGGCCCACCAUGCUUCCCGUUCCGAUCAUCCUUGCAAUUAUAAAGGUCGUUGGAUUAGCUGUAGUCACGGCAGGAAUUACAAUUGUAGGUGAGAGUCUGGCACGGGAUAAGCAGCAUUUGGGCAGCCUCGAUGCUUCUGGGACCUGACACUCCUGUCUUUAUAGGGGUGAAACAUGAGGACGGACUCUGCCCUGCAAGCAGCAGCAGACAUCAUGCUGUCCAUGGAAAGAGCUCCAGGUUCCCACUGCCAGUGAACAGAAAGUGAUUUCCUUCCUUCCAACUGGCUUGAUUCAUGUAUUCCCACUGCUGGAACUGGAAAUCCCCCAAAGACCCCCAGCUGCCCCUUUAACAGAUUUGGAUGGCCUUGAGCAAUAAAUGCUUUUGAAUACUUUAAUAGAAGUGCA